rnacentral:lncRNA from 1 species
UCCAAGGCCUUAAUUAAAGGAGUCCAUGGGUUGCUUAGGGCUUAAGCAUCCAAAUUAGGGUUUCCUUGUUAGAUAACCCUAAUAGCCUCCUAUAUAAAGACCCCCCAAGGCUCAUGAAUUCGUCCAUGCCUUCCCAAGAGGUCCUAGAGACGAAUUCUUACACCUCUCCUCUCUCUUUAUACCUUCUCCAUUUGCUCUUGGUGUUUGUAAGCCAUUAGAGGAGUGACACUUGUGACUCUAAGCCUUCCAAAGUCAAUUCAAGGAGGAAUUGGGAUUGUUAUUGCUACAUAACAAUCAAGGUAAUAUCUUAAACCUAAUUAUAUGUUAAUAUUGAUUUCCAUAUGCUAGAAUUAGGGUUUAUAGUCUUGGAUUCAAAGCAUGUACAAUAGAGAAACCUAGAUCCAAGCAUUAGGGUUUGUAUGAGCACAUAGGAUGUCUUAUGACCAAAACCCAUCAGUGGUAUCAGAGCCUAGCUUGGUUUCAAUUGUAUUGAUGCAUUGUAUAUCUGAAAAAUUCGAUUUUUGGUGUUCUGGAGGCUGGACUCGCCGAGUCCAUAGCUGAACUCGCCGAGUCCAAGGUGACUCGACGAGUCCAAGCCUGACUCGACGAGUCAACUCGUCAGAUGGAGGGUAUUUCGGGAUUUCUUGCUGUUUUUGCUUAUGGAUAGUUACCUUAUCAUGUUAGAUCAAUAUUAAUCCGAUUAUAUGAUAUAUUUGACUAUAUUUUUGAUCUAAUUGAAGAUAUUUAUCAAUUAAUAAGAUAAUUGUUUCCUUAUGUGAUAAUUGAUUAAUUAUUUUGAUUAAAUUGAUAAAUUGUUUUGCAAGAAAUCAUUAAAUAAAUCAAAUAUGGAUAAUUAUGUGAUUAAAUGUUAAUUUAGAUUAUUUGUUAUUUGAUCCUUGUUGUUAUGAAAAGUUUCAUAUUUUCCCCUUUAGGUUUUAUAGUUUAAAUUUGAACCCAAAAGUUUUGUUGUUUUGAAAUUUAAAUAGUUGAAACCCUAAUGUUUUGAAAAAGGUUUCAAAACUUGCCCUCAAGUUUUGGAAUUUAAAUUUUGAUUAAAUGGUUUAAUUUUGAUGUAUAUUUAAAUUCUAAACCCUAAUGUGUUGAAAUGUUUCAAAACUUGCCCUCAAGUUUUGGAAUUUAAAAGUUGAUUAAAAGUUUAAUUAGGAAUGUUAAAUUCUAAAACUCUAGUAUAGUUUUGAAAAAGUUCAAAUCACACCCUUAUGGUUUUAUUAAUUAAUUAAGGUGUAUAAUUAAAAGAGGUUUAAUAAAUCCAUAAAAGUUUAGGUUUACAAUUUAAUUGAAUUAAAAGUAUAAUUGUUAAAUUUGACCACCUAGUAUUUUAAAAGUGUAAAAUACACCCUAUACUAUAUAUAACAUUAAAAGUCUAACAUUAUAUAUAUGUAUGAGUAAAAGUCAGUCUUACCGUUAGUAGGCCUCAUUCACGAAGCUGGUCUAUAAGGGGUGUUUAAGGAAAUUGCCUAUAAAAUGGCGAUUGAAUGGGUAUCCACUCUUACCCACCGCACUCUUGACUAGUGGAGGGUCGUUAGCCGAACGGGUAGGAUAGGACGAAACCUUCCAUUAUAAGUAUAAUGAAGUAUAAAAGUAACUAAAUGUUUUCAUAAAAUUCCCAAUCUUAGUUACUUAGGCAAAAGUGAAUUGAUGCAAUUCCAUGAAAUUACACUUUGUGCCCUUGCGAAGACGUUAGUGGAGCGUGUGUGGUUUACCGGCACACUAAAUGGUUCUAAGCAAAGGUAGCAAAGGGUGACUCAAUGUUUGUCAUAGUUCGGUGGAGCGUGUGUGGUUUACCGGCACAUCGAAUAGGUGACUGUAACAUGUGAGGGCACCAUGUAAGUUUGCAUGGUUAUUCACACCCGCUUUGUGAUCCUCGGCAUCCCAGUCACAAACAAGAGGGGCAUAUCGAGAUUUAAACAUGCCAUUGAAAGUUCAAUGAAUCUCAAAGGAUCUAGGAGUUUUCAUAGAUUUAAAACUUAAAUUUCCUUUUCGUUUUUCAUGGUGGAAAUUAGUGAAUCGUCAUUCACUUACCUUCAAAUAUUCUGCAAUUAGGGUUACGGCAUCCCUCUCCCGAGUUGUAGAAUAUUGUGUUGGGUCCUAGCCUUAGUAUCUCAUUUGGGUGAUUUACUAAGGACUCAAUCAAUCAACUAACUUGAAUUCGUUUUCUCCCGUUUUGUAGAUGUCAAAGUUCGACAACUAUGGUCUUCCCAAAUCCCGUGGAACAAGCAUUCCACAUGAAGAUGGUAUUCCACGAUUCGAUCGAGGAACAAGAAAUCAUGCUUCACUUCCUCCACCUCCUCCAAUUGUUCUCCCUAACCCACAAGAUCGAAGAAUUGAAAGGUUCAAUAUCACUAAAGCCCUAUUGGAAAUGAAACAUGAAGAUGGUAAACCCGUGUGUGCCCACGUUCUAGGAAUGAAAUCACACAUUGAUAGGUUGAUAAUGUUGGGUGUGUCAUUCCCGGAUGAGUUGGCUGUGAACUGGGUUUUGCAGUCACUCCCUGAAUCGUAUAAUGAGUUCAAAAGAAAGUAUUAUAUGAUGGAUCAUGACGAUAACCUCAUUGACCUAACUUACAUGCUCAUUGCUGCUGAAUCAGAAAUGAUUUGGCGAAGCAAUGGAGCGUAUUUGUUGGGAAAGUCAACCGACCAUGCUUCUGAGGACGUUCUAGGAGAACCGACCUGCGUUUGCUGCCAAGAGAAAGGGCGUUGGAUACAAGUCUGCCCAAAGAGCCUGAAGAGUCCAGAAGAUGGGAGAGUCAAAGAGUAUGGCUGCGCUUCAGGUAAAAUCCACUAUCUAACUCCGUCAAGUUCCUAUUCAUUGAUUAUUGAUACCUGAUGUGAUAAGAUUGCAUUUGAAUGUUUUGCAGGAUCGGUGAAAAGAAAGGAAGCUUGGUAAGAGAGCAAGAAGAAUCUAAUCACAAAGAAAUGGAUCUAGAUUGCAUGAACUUGAAGAUUAGAUUUUGAGCUUAGAUAGUUAUGAUAGAGUUGUUAGGUAUUUUCUUUUUGAAUACAUAGUUUUCAGUUGAUUUUGCAAUGUAAGGACAAAUGUUUUCCGCUGCAUUUAUAAAUAAAAUAAAUUUUGGUUUGACUUAUUUAUUUAUUUGUUUAUUUCCUUGCAAUGAAAUCGUUAUGAAAAUUGAUGUUUGCAUAUUUCUACAACAAGUGGAUAUAAUUCUUGUUUAUGAUGUUUAUGGAAAGUCGAGAAUUUACCAAAUAGGGAGAGUUUCUCAUCGCCCAAGUUUCAAUUGGACAGAAACUUGGAAUCACGCAACUUGGUUGCAUGAUGAAUGAGAAAUUUCAUAUUUGGAAAUUAGACUAAUUCAUUGACAAAGUGUCAAGUGAAGGACUAGGAAAUCGAGUACACAAAGUUGUGUAGUGAUCAAGUCCACCAUAAGAGUGACAAAGAUAUUCGUCAUGAUUUACUAAAGGUUUAGUAAAUGUAAUUAUACUUACAAGAUUAAGUGUAAUUCUAGAUUGAUUGAAAAAGGUUUAAAUCAAUAGCAGAACGAAUAAGAAGAAUCAAGUAGGCAGAAAGAUAAAAGUUUCUCCAUUCUAAGAAGAAGGGAGAGUACCUUUUAUGCUUUAUGAUAGGUCUUAAUGAUUAAGAACCAUAUCUCAAUUGAUCCUCUAAGUGAGUCUUAGUACAAUUGUAUGUCUAAGAAGAGGAAUCAAGAAUUGAAGAAAUGGUUAAAUCAAUAAGUCAAUCAUACUUCGUUCCAAUAACAAGUCUUAAAGUUAAGAUUGUGACAUUGAGUGAAAGGUAUUAAGAAGGUUUGUAACUUUCAUUAAAUGUGGAAAGUUGUGAUGUCUUGGAUAAGACAAAGACCAACUAGGACCAAUUUAUGAAGUGUUUUGAUAAAAGCUACACUAACUCUUGAAUAUUUGUUUGUCAAGAAAUGGUUAUUGACAAGAGAAUCUUAUAUGUCAAGGAGUCAGUGGGAGUCUUAAUGGUCUUGAAAGGUUUCAAGAACAAAUCAAAUAAACCUUAUCGAUCAUCACUAGCACACGAGUUGAGGUUUACAACCUAUCGUGUUGACAUUAUUUUGAUUCUGUGCCAAUCCAAUCGAGUUAAUUAUGCAUGUGAGUUCUAUGAGUUCUCAUUUUGAACGCAUAAAAGGCAAAGCACCUUAAUCAAUGAAAGGUACAUUGAUAGGAAAGGGUGAGCUGCUUAACUACUUGGAAGACAUGGUGGGCAGCUGUGCUACCAUAAGGCAAGAAAUCAAGAUUAAGAAAGUUCGGUCCAUAUGAGUUUGAAUUUGUCGUAAACUUUGGUUUUAACAAAUUCACAUGGAUAGGAACACAUACACCGUUUAAAUCUAAGUGUCAUAAGAUUUCCUCCUUCAUGAAAAUGAUUGUGAGGAAAUGCUUUCACUAAGAAAGAUUUUAAGAAGAUAGUGAUUGUAAAAUUGCAUUCUCGAAUUCAAUUAUGGUUACGGCAUCCCUUUCCAUAAUUUGAAUUGUGAGGUUUGGCAAUUAGUCUUAAUUGUUUAGACACACAUAUGAACUAUCGAAGGCAAAGGUGUAUAAGUUCAAGAAGCCUUGAUAAAAGAUUAUCAAAGCACUAAGUAUUAGAAACAUGAACUUAAGAAAUUCAAUAAGCAUUGUUUUUCUGAAAGUUAAGAUGUUUAUGAAUACAUGUCGAAGCUAGUGGGAGCAUAAGUGUUAUGUUUUAUAAUAAUCAUCAUGAUAGUGGGAGCAUAAAUGUUAUGAUUGUAUGAUUAUUAAGGAAAGUAUUGCAAGGUUAGCAAUAUUAAUUAUAGAAAACAAGAGUCAUACUUUGCAAAGUUGUAAGAGUUGAAAAGUUGUUUUGCUAUAAUUAAGGGAGAGAAUAUUAUGCUUCAUUUCAAAUCUAAAGGAUUAGGUUGAGAAAUGUUAAUAAAUUUAGUCAAAGGUACAUAGUGUGUUCUUAAAAUUUCGAUUAUGAUUACGGCAUUCCUCUUCACAAUUCGAAUUUUGAGAACAUAGCAAAUAAAACAUUAUGCGUCGUGUCCCAUACGCUUCGGGUAUAGGAUCGAUUGCAAAUGCUUUAAUGUUUGACCAUUCUAAAAUUUUCCAAAUGUCUAGCGCAUUUAGAGGGAAAAAGGACUAGAAUCGGUUUUGACUAAAAUAAUUAAACAACUAUCAAAGGACAAUCCAAAGUUCGACGAGGAUUGGUCGCUUGUGAGUAGUUGGAAGUAUAGUAUUGGAAAAUAUGGAAAUGUUUCCAUAUUGGAUGGACCAUAUCGACAUCAUUACGAAUAGAUAAGAUUCUAUUAAGAAUGAGUUGUCAUAUGGAAAAUAUGGAAACGUGUCCAUAUUGGGAAUUGAAUAUUGAAAAUCUAUGUCUAGAUUAGAAACUUUUAUGCAAAAGGAUGUUCAAAGGAAUGUACUUUGAGUGAGAGACAUCAUAUCUAAGGAAUUGUCUUGUAACAAUCUCCGAUAGAGGACUUUGUAAUAUCAUUGGCAAUAGUCUUUGUGACUUUGGUGCAGUGACAUUACGAAAGGAUCGUUGCAUAAAAUGUUAGAAUCUAGCAUAUUCUAUAAGUAGCAAGAAUUUGAUAUUCUUACACUUAUGAAAAAGGAUUUGGAGUUGUGAAAUGAGAAUGAUUGGAAAUGUGUUCAAUUUGAUCUAUUUCACAAAGUAAGAACCAUAGGUAAACAUUGUGUGCAUGCUAGGAGCAUGGGACAAGUGUAAUAAUUCAAGUAAGAAGUUGAUUACCCGAAACGACAAAUAAUGAGUAAUCGAUAUGGUGAUAAAUAAAAGGUGUUUUAUUUAUACUCAAAGGUUUGAGGCCAUAUGGGAUUAGUAUUAUUCUUGUGUUUCACAUUUGCAUGUUUUGACUUCCAGAAUAAUUGAGUUUAUUAAGAAUAAUCGAAUUAUUCGAACGGGCCACAGUCGUUCAUAUGUUGGAAGUAGAUAUGAAUGAAGACUGUCGUGAAUUGGUGUGUGGAUUGUCUAAAGAGUAUUAGACAUAAGCAAAUGUUUGCUGCAACGUUCAUGAGUGCUUAUGAAUAUGAUUUGAGCAUUGGAUUAAACCCACGCUCACUUGGAUCACUCCAUGAAUUGUAUCACGAGUGAUUGGUGAGACGAUAACAUCUUAUAUUCUUGAAACCGAGAUGUGUGAGUUGUAUCUUGCAAAUCGGUUGCACAUUGAUAAUAUGUAAACGCACUAGUAACUUGGUGUUAUAAAACAUAUUGUUGUGUGUGAUUCGGUGAGUGAGUGCAAGCAAGCAUUGUAUCAAAGUUUAUCCGUUCCUUUUAUCCAAAGUAGGAUAAAAGCGAUAUCUUUGGGCCCCUCGAUGAUUUAGUGAUGACAAACGUAAAUGCUCGGCCGGGCUAGGGCUAAUUUGAUUUGUUCAAUUAGUCAGUCGUCAUAAAUUGGGAAUCGAGAUAUAGUACAAAGAGAAUGAUUUGAAAUCAUAUCUCAUAUGAUAUCUAGAAUGGAGGAAUAUAUGAUCCCUUAUCUAAGGACACGCGUAUCUGAUAGGAUCAGAGUUGACAGCGGCUUUGGAAAGCUACGAUUGCAGAUCAGGAUCUGAAGUCAUACGCAUAAUAGUUAUUAGACUUAUCCAAGUGGGAGACUGUUGGAUUAGUGUCUAAGUCCAUAACUAUUUUGGUAUGUACUUGACCCGAUGGUGCAUGGUCCUUUUGGGUUGCCUUCACCAAAGCAACUUGAUAGGAUGAAUUAUGGAGAGAAAGGAUUAAAUAUGAUUUAUUAAUAUAUUAUGAGAAUAAUAUAUUAAAGGAGAAAUCAUAUUGUUUAAUUAAUAUUAGUCAAUAAUUAAUUGGUAAUUAGUUUUGUGACUAAAAGAGAUUAAUUAAACUUAAGGGACUGGAAUUGUAAUUAUAAGAUAAUUGCAAUUUGGGCUAUGGAUUGUCUUAAAUUAAGGAGUGGACGAAUUCUAUGGGGAAGCCCAUAAGGAAAUCGUCCAAGGCCUUAAUUAAAGGAGUCCAUGGGUUGCUUAGGGCUUAAGCAUCCAAAUUAGGGUUUCCUUGUUAGAUAACCCUAAUAGCCUCCUAUAUAAAGACCCCCCAAGGCUCAUGAAUUCGUCCAUGCCUUCCCAAGAGGUCCUAGAGACGAAUUCUUACACCUCUCCUCUCUCUUUAUACCUUCUCCAUUUGCUCUUGGUGUUUGUAAGCCAUUAGAGGAGUGACACUUGUGACUCUAAGCCUUCCAAAGUCAAUUCAAGGAGGAAUUGGGAUUGUUAUUACUACAUAACAAUCAAGGUAAUAUCAUAAACCUAAUUAUAUGUUAAUAUCUAUUUCCAUAUGCUAGAAUUAGGGUUUAUAGUCUUGGAUUCAAAGCAUGUACAAUAGAGAAACCUAGAUCCAAGCAUUAGGGUUUGUAUGAGCACAUAGGAUGUCUUAUGACCAAA